CCUACGGGUGGCAGCAGUGGGGAAUAUUGGACAAUGGGCGAAAGCCUGAUCCAGCCAUGCCGCGUGUGUGAAGAAGGCCUUCGGGUUGUAAAGCACUUUCAGUGGGGAAGAUAGCCUUGGGGCUAAUACCCUCGAGGAAGGACAUCACCCACAGAAGAAGCACCGGCUAACUCCGUGCCAGCAGCCGCGGUAAUACGGAGGGUGCGAGCGUUAAUCGGAAUUACUGGGCGUAAAGCGCGCGUAGGCGGUCUGAUAAGCCGGUUGUGAAAGCCCCGGGCUCAACCUGGGAACGGCAUCCGGAACUGUCAGGCUAGAGUGCAGGAGAGGAAGGUAGAAUUCCCGGUGUAGCGGUGAAAUGCGUAGAGAUCGGGAGGAAUACCAGUGGCGAAGGCGGCCUUCUGGACUGACACUGACGCUGAGGUGCGAAAGCGUGGGUAGCAAACAGGAUUAGAUACCCCAGUAGUC
rnacentral:rRNA from 1 species